GGGGGAUUUCCCGAGCGGUCAAAGGGGGCAGACUGUAAAUCUGUUGUCAUCGACUUCGGAGGUUCGAAUCCUCCAUCCCCCA
rnacentral:tRNA from 1 species